AGUGUUUAAGUCGAACUCCGUGCUCAGAACGAUGGGUGUAGUUCUUUACAUCUGUCUUAUCUUGUCUUGUAUUGCAGACGUGCGGUCCGACAUCGUGCUGAAACAAUCCGACCCAGCCGUGCUAAAGGCCGGAGAACCGCACCGACUGUCUUGUGCAGUCAGUGGUUUCGAUAUCAACACCUACACCAUGUACUGGGUGAAAAAGGUCUCCGGGAAAGGGCUAGAAACGUUGGUACGUUACUAUAGUAAAAAUAAUAAGUAUUACGCGCCAGGAAUCGAGAGACGGUUCACGGCUUCCAAGGACAGUGGCAAGUUUUAUCUGCAAAUGAACGACCUGAAACUGGACGACACAGGAACAUAUUACUGUGCGACAGACACAGUGAGGGAGACUGGGACUGGACCGGGACAAAAACCCACAGAGAACACUUGCACUUAG